UGGGUUUGACAUAUAGGGAAAUCCUCCAGAGAUGGGGGGUCCGUAAGGGUCCUAUACAGGUGGUGCAUGGCUGUCGUCAGCUCGUGUCGUGAGAUGUUGGGUUAAGUCCCGCAACGAGCGCAACCCUCGUCCUAUGUUGCCAGCACGUUAUGGUGGGGACUCAUAGGAGACUGCCGGGGUCAACUCGGAGGAAGGUGGGGAUGACGUCAAGUCAUCAUGCCCCUUAUGUCCAGGGCUUCACGCAUGCUACAAUGGCCGGUACAAAGGGCUGCGAAACCGCAAGGUGGAGCGAAUCCCAAAAAGCCGGUCUCAGUUCGGAUUGGGGUCUGCAACUCGACCCCAUGAAGUCGGAGUCGCUAGUAAUCGCAGAUCAGCAACGCUGCGGUGAAUACGUUCCCGGGCC
rnacentral:rRNA from 1 species